rnacentral:rRNA from 1 species
UACGGGGGGGGGCACGCGUUGUUCGGAAUUACUGGGCGUAAAGGGCUCGUAGGUGGCCAACUAAGUCAGACGUGAAAUCCCUCAGCUUAACUGGGGAACUGCGUCUGAUACUGGAUGGCUUGAGUUUGGGAGAGGGAUGCGGAAUUCCAGGUGUAGCGGUGAAAUGCGUAGAUAUCUGGAGGAACACCGGUGGCGAAGGCGGCAUCCUGGACCAAUACUGACACUGAGGAGCGAAAGCCAGGGGAGCAAACGGG